UUACAACACCAGUUCUUGUACAAUCACCAAAGUUAAGCAAUGUUAGGUUUGGUUAAUACUUAGAUGGGUAACCAUUUGGGAAUACCAGGUGUUGUAAG